rnacentral:rRNA from 1 species
AAACCAACAGGGAUUGCCUUAGUAGCGGCGAGUGAAGCGGCAAAAGCUCAAAUUUGAAAUCUGGCACUUUCAGUGUCCGAGUUGUAAUUUGAAGAAGGUAUCUUUGGGUCUGGCUCUUGUCUAUGUUUCUUGGAACAGAACGUCACAGAGGGUGAGAAUCCCGUGCGAUGAGAUGUCCCAGACCUAUGUAAAGUUCCUUCGAAGAGUCGAGUUGUUUGGGAAUGCAGCUCUAAGUGGGUGGUAAAUUCCAUCUAAAGCUAAAUAUUGGCGAGAGACCGAUAGCGAACAAGUACAGUGAUGGAAAGAUGAAAAGAACUUUGAAAAGAGAGUGAAAAAGUACGUGAAAUUGUUGAAAGGGAAGGGCUUGAGAUCAGACUUGGUAUUUUGUAUGUUACUCUCUCGGGGGUGGCCUCUACAGUUUACCGGGCCAGCAUCAGUUUGGGCGGUAGGACAAUUGCAAAGAAAUGUGGCACUGCCUCGGUAGUGUGUUAUAGUCUUUGUCGAUACUGCCAGCCUAGACUGAGGACUGCGGCUUCGGCCUAGGAUGUUGGCAUAAUGAUCUUAAGUCGCC